GUUUGAUCCUGGCUCAGGAUGAACGCUAGCUACAGGCUUAACACAUGCAAGUCGAGGGGAAACGACAUCGAAAGCUUGCUUUUGAUGGGCGUCGACCGGCGCACGGGUGAGUAACGCGUAUCCAACCUGCCCACCACUUGGGGAUAACCUUGCGAAAGUAAGACUAAUACCCAAUGAUAUCUCUAGAAGACAUCUGAAAGAGAUUAAAGAUUUAUCGGUGAUGGAUGGGGAUGCGUCUGAUUAGCUUGUUGGCGGGGUAACGGCCCACCAAGGCAACGAUCAGUAGGGGUUCUGAGAGGAAGGUCCCCCACAUUGGAACUGAGACACGGUCCAAACUCCUACGGGAGGCAGCAGUGAGGAAUAUUGGUCAAUGGACGAGAGUCUGAACCAGCCAAGUAGCGUGCAGGAUGACGGCCCUAUGGGUUGUAAACUGCUUUUAUAAGGGAAUAAAGUGAGUCUCGUGAGACUUUUUGCAUGUACCUUAUGAAUAAGGACCGGCUAAUUCCGUGCCAGCAGCCGCGGUAAUACGGAAGGUCCGGGCGUUAUCCGGAUUUAUUGGGUUUAAAGGGAGCGUAGGCCGGAGAUUAAGCGUGUUGUGAAAUGUAGACGCUCAACGUCUGCACUGCAGCGCGAACUGGUUUCCUUGAGUACGCACAAAGUGGGCGGAAUUCGUGGUGUAGCGGUGAAAUGCUUAGAUAUCACGAAGAACUCCGAUUGCGAAGGCAGCUCACUGGAGCGCAACUGACGCUGAAGCUCGAAAGUGCGGGUAUCGAACAGGAUUAGAUACCCUGGUAGUCCGCACGGUAAACGAUGGAUGCCCGCUGUUGGUCUGAAUAGGUCAGCGGCCAAGCGAAAGCAUUAAGCAUCCCACCUGGGGAGUACGCCGGCAACGGUGAAA
rnacentral:rRNA from 1 species